rnacentral:rRNA from 1 species
CGGCAACAGCUCAAAUUUGAAAUCUGGCUCUUUCAGGGUCCGAGUUGUAAUUUGUAGAAGAUGCUUUGGGUGUGGCUCCGGUCUAAGUUCCUUGGAACAGGACGUCAUAGAGGGUGAGAAUCCCGUCCUUGACAUGG